UUCCCAGCUAUUCUUCAUCAAAUAGCGUGCGGAAUGGAGCACCUCCAUGCCAACCAGAUCGUCCAUGGUGAUUUGGCUACGCGGAAUGUUUUGAUCGGAGAGGAAAACCAAGUUAAAAUAGCAGAUUUCGGAUUAAGUAGAGUCUUGCAUGCUCAAGACCACUAUGAAACUAAUGAUAAAACACGUUUUGCAUUUCCUUGGAUGGCUCGUGAAGUUCUGGUAGACCAAAAGCUAAUGUUGGCAUCCGACGUGUGGUCGUUCGGAGUUCUUUUGUGGGAGAUGGCCACAUUCGGAGGGGAUCCAUUUAUCCACCUCAACGGCAUCGAGUUUAAGAAGCGUGUACAGACCAGAAGAGAUGAUCAAGAACUACUGAUAUUUUAUGAUUACAUUUCGGAAACCAUGAGGGAGAUGAUGAUGAAAUGUUGGCGAACGGACCCUCUUCAGCGGGAGACGUUCACCGACAUUAAAACAUUCUAUUCCAACCAGUUGCCUGGAGGAUUGAGGGAGGUCUAGCCGAAUUUCAUGGGGUAUACGGUGCUCUAUUUUAAUGUAUUGUAGGUAUUCUAUGAAAGUCUUCAAUUGCUAUUCUCUCUUUUGGAACUACUUUUAGAGGUUUGAGCUGUAUUGGACUUCGAAAAUACGCAAUAUUCUGCACCUUUAAAAUCUAUAUAUAACAGUUUCAAAAAUCUUUAAAAACUACAGAUUUUCAUGCUAAUAUUGAAUUUUUAAAAAGAGAAUUUUCAAUUUUGAAUCUACCUUUUGGGGUUAAUUUUGAUACUCAUGUGUGAUAUAAGUACCUAAAGGUAGCAACAAUUCACCCACAGGUUUUUAAAAUUGCGAGGGUAGAAAUUUUGAAUCACACGAAUACUUAAUGUUUUUUUUUUUUUUUUUUGGUUUCUUGAAUUACGAAUUUCCGAUAUGCUCUGGCCUUGUCUUGCUAGACCCAGCUUGGUUUUCUUUUUUAAAAUUAAAAUUUCUGAAAAGUUCGUAUUCAAAUUCGAAGUGUUUAAUUUUAAUACAGUAAUCAGUUAUAUUAGGUACGUUAUUUAUCUUAUUGUUAGUGUGCCAAACAAUGGUCCAAAAUUCGAAAAAUCCUCAGAAUAUAAAAGUCUCAAGUUUUUUUACAUUAUAUCCAUUCCAUUUCCCUUUCUGUGAUUUCAAACUAUUGAAUUGGGGCAUACCUACCUCUAAAAAGUAGAAAAAAACUGAAAUUUCAAAAUGCUGUAAAACAUGCCAAUUUUAAUUUUUUUCAAAACUUUAUGGGGUGUUAUAUCAAAAUAUGGAUAUUUUUGAGUAUAAAAAUCGUUGACUGCAUUUUUUCAGAAAUAUUUUGGUUUCUAUCAGCUGCUCGUCACAAAAAAACUCAAUUGGAGGGGGAUGGGGUAUUUUUGAAAAAAGCAUUCGAGAGAAUUUGAAAAUAUCAUAUUCCAUGGAGUACUAAGUAACUAAGGUACCUAUGUAAAGAAAAAUAUCCACAAAAAAUUUUCUACCUUAACUUGCCUCAUUCGCAAAAUGAAAAAUUCCAUGUUUUGCACCCCCUCUUUCCUUUAAAAGAGCUCAUUUCGAAGUUAAGGGGGAAAAUGUAUGGCAAAAUGGACUUCUGCGAUUGAAAAAAACCUAUUUUGAUACCCAUAUCAAUUUUUUUUUAAAUUUCAUGUUUUGCACCCCCCCUCCCUCCCUUACUCGAUGGCUCAUUUCGAGGUCAAAGGAAAAAUGUAUGGCAAAAUCGACUUCUGCGAUUUAAAAAAAAUCCUAUUUCAAUACUCAAGUCGAAUUUUUUUGAAAUUUCAUGUUUUUCACCCUCCUCCUCCUCCUCCUUCUCCUCCCCUGUUGGAGAGCUUAUUUCAAUAUUAAGGCGAAUAGAAAUACUAAAAUCGACUUCAGCGACUCAAAAAAUUCCUAUUACACUACCCAUGUCGAAUUUUUCGAAAAAUUUCAUGUUUUGCAUUCCCCCCCCCCCACCCCCCUCAUUUUGAGGGUCAUUUUGAGGUUCCCCUUUGAGAGCUCAUUUCAAAGUUGAGGUGAAUAUGAAUACUGAAAUCGACUUCAGCAACUCGAAAAAUCCCUAUUACAAUACCCAAGUCGAAUUUUUCGAAACUCCAUGUUUUGAACCACCUCCCCCUUUUUCUUUAGAGCUUGUUACGAAGUUGAUAAUGAAUGCCGAAAUCGACUUCGGUGAUCUAAAAAAAACCUCGUAUGCGAAAUUUUACCGAUUUACCUUAAAAUUACAUUUUUGGUACUUAGCUACUUUUUCAUUUCAGAUCUCUGCGCCACCACCUCUGUCAAAAAUUCAUUGGCUACUCUCAGCCAUAAAAUUUUGUAAAUGUGAUCAAUAUUAUUGAUGUUUUUAUUGUAAAGCAUAGUUUAUUGCUCUUUUGACUGUCUUAUUGUAAUGUCAUGUAAAUAGUUUGUCAAAGUUACUUAAUCAAAGUUUAGUUUUUUUAUUGUAAAAUAUUUUCGAAUUUUUAAUUCGUUAAAAAUAAAAAUUAAUA